UACGACAAUUUGCUAGGAGAAGCAUUA
rnacentral:piRNA from 1 species